rnacentral:rRNA from 1 species
AUUGAACGCUGGCGGCAUGCUUUACACAUGCAAGUCGAACGGUAACAGGGAGCUUGCUCCGCUGACGAGUGGCGAACGGGUGAGUAAUAUAUCGGAACGUACCCAAGAGUGGGGGAUAACGUAGCGAAAGUUACGCUAAUACCGCAUACGAUCCAAGGAUGAAAGCAGGGGAUCUUCGGACCUUGUGCUCCUGGAGCGGCCGAUAUCUGAUUAGCUAGUUGGUGAGGUAAAGGCUCACCAAGGCGACGAUCAGUAGCUGGUCUGAGAGGACGACCAGCAAAACUGGAACUGAGCCACGGCCCAGACUCCUACGGGAGGCAGCAGUGGGGAAUUUUGGACAAUGGGCGCAAGCCUGAUCCAGCAAUGCCGCGUGAGUGAAGAAGGCCUUCGGGUUGUAAAGCUCUUUUGUCAGGGAAGAAACGGGAGUGGCUAAUAUCCAUUCCUAAUGACGGUACCUGAAGAAUAAGCACCGGCUAACUACGUGCCAGCAGCCGCCGUAAGAC